rnacentral:rRNA from 1 species
UCGGGAAUUUUGGGCAAUGGGCGAAAGCCUGACCCAGCAACGCCGCGUGAAGGAUGAAGUAUUUCGGUAUGUAAACUUCGAAAGAAUAGGAAGAAUAAAUGACGGUACUAUUUAUAAGGUCCGGCUAACUACGUGCCAGCAGCCGCGGUAAUACGUAGGGACCAAGCGUUGUUCGGAUUUACUGGGCGUAAAGGGCGCGUAGGCGGCAUGACAAGUCACUUGUGAAAUCUCUGGGCUUAACCCAGAACGGCCAAGUGAUACUGUCGCGCUAGAGUGCAGAAGGGGCAAUCGGAAUUCUUGGUGUAGCGGUGAAAUGCGUAGAUAUCAAGAGGAACACCUGAGGUGAAGACGGGUUGCUGGGCUGACACUGACGCUGAGGCGCGAAAGCCAGGGGAGCAAACGGGGAUUAGAUACCCCCGUAGUCCCUGAGCGGGCUGGCAAGGCGCAU